UAAACUAGGAUUAGAUACCCUAUUAUUUUGAUAGUGUGGUUUCCUGGGUAGUAUUAGUUAUGUUCUUUAAACCCAAAGGAUUUGGCGGUGUUUUAGUCCUUUCAGAGGAACUUGUCUCGUAAUCGAUGGUCCCCGUUUGUCUUUCUUGGUCUUGUUAAUACAGUAUGUAUACCGCCGUUAUCAGUUUAUGUUAUAAGGUAUUGAAUUUACUUAAUAGGUUAAUGUCUACUAUUUCAGGUCAAGGUGCAGCUUAUGGCUAAGUGAUGAUGAGUUACAAUCUAGCUUUAUAGAUAUGGAUUUAUUCUUUAAAGGUGUUUUGAAGGUGGAUUUGAUGGUAAUUGUAUUGAUUAUAUUACUAUGACUUUGGCUCUAAGAUAAGUACACAUCG
rnacentral:rRNA from 1 species